AAACUCAAAGGAAUUGACGGGGACCCGCACAAGCGGUGGAUGAUGUGGAUUAAUUCGAUGCAACGCGAAGAACCUUACCUGGUCUUGACAUGUACGGAAUCCUCCAGAGACGGAGGAGUGCCUUCGGGAGCCGUAACACAGGUGCUGCAUGGCUGUCGUCAGCUCGUGUCGUGAGAUGUUGGGUUAAGUCCCGCAACGAGCGCAACCCUUGUCAUUAGUUGCCAUCAUUAAGUUGGGCACUCUAAUGAGACUGCCGGUGACAAGCCGGAGGAAGGUGGGGAUGACGUCAAGUCCUCAUGGCCCUUAU
rnacentral:rRNA from 1 species